CUAGAAAACCAUCACUGGCCCAGGGAGGUAUGACAUCCAGGAUUUCACUGAGAACCGGGAGAAGAAGCCAUGCACUGUGAGACGUGACAUCAGUAAGGUUUAAAGACUUCAUGAAGGAUUCUGGUUUGUGCCCUGGUACCUAGAACCUUCAAUGAGGUGCUCCUCAGAUGAAGGUUCUCCACGUCAGAAAGCAAGGACCCUACGACCUCUUCACUGGCUGACGAGAAAAGCCAAUCACCUUCGGAUAUUUUGCUGCCCCGAAAAAAAGCUAAUCUGAAUCUUGGUACGUUCGUCAAGCCGGCUAAGGUCUGGUAUGAGGGCCUUCUGCGGCCAGAGAAAAGACACCCCGGCACGAUUGGCCACUACCCUUCCGAACGCAUAUAUGUGGGUUCCCUGCCCCAAUACCCCCGCCAAGAGAUUUUCAAUGGGAUUCACAUCUGGGCAUUGGCUGGGCUAUUCAAGGACUUUCACAUUCUUAUUCUGACACCAUUCCAGCAUUGCUUUGGUUGUAUGCUUCGGGUCAUUGUCCUGUUGGAAUGUAAAUCUUUGCCCCAUUUUAAGGUUGUUUUCAGUCUGAAACUUGUUCUCAUCAAGGAUUUUCCUAUAUUUGGCUCCAUUCAUUGUCACCUCUGUCCUUACCAGUCUCCCAGUCUCCCAAUCCCCAUAGCAUGUUGCUGCCACCACCAUGCUUCACAGUAGAGAUGGUGUUAGAUGGAUGAUGAGCUCUGCCUGUUUUUUUCCCCAGACAUAGCGCUUUGCAUUCAGGCCAAAGAGUAAAAAAAUGUAUCUCAUCAGACCACAGAUUUUUUUGCCUUAUGCUCUGAGUCUUUCAUGUGCCUUUUUGCAAACUCAAGGCAUGCUCUCAUGUGCCUUAUUCUUAGGUGUGGCUUCCGUCUGGCCACUCUCCAAUAAAGCCCAGAUUGGUGAAGUGCUGUAGAGACUGUUGUCCUUCUGGCAGGUUCUCCCAUCUCAGCCAAGGAACUAUGUAGUAAUAUCAGUGGUCAUUGGGUUCUUGGUCACCUCCCUGACCAAGGUCCUUCUUGCCCGGUUGUUCAGUUUGGUCGGACGGACAGCUCUUGGCAGAGUCUGGUUCGUUCCUUAUUUUUAAAAUGUCCCAAUGAUGGAGACCACUGUGCUCUUGAAAUUGUUUCAGACCCUUCCUCGGAUAUACAGUAUGCUUCAUCACAAUUCUAUCUCAGAUAUCGACGGCCAGUUCCUUGGACUUCAUGGUAUAGUUUCUGCCUUGACAUGCACUUUCAACUGUGGGACAUUAUAUAGACAGGUGUGUUUCUUUAUAAAUCAUGUCCAAUCAACUGAAUUUACCACAGGUGGACUCCAAUCAAGGAUGAUCAAAGGAAAUUGGAUGCACCUGAGCUCAAUUUGGAGUGUCAUAGCAAAGGGGUGUGAAUACUUAUGUAAAUGAGAUAUUUCUGCAUUUCAU